rnacentral:rRNA from 1 species
UGCCAGCAGCCGCGGUAAUACGAAGGGACCUAGCGUAGUUCGGAAUUACUGGGCUUAAAGAGCUCGUAGGUGGUUAAAAAAGUUGGUGGUGAAAUCCCAAGGCUUAACCUUGGAACUGCCACCAAAACUAUUUAACUAGAGUAUGAUAGAGGUAAGUGGAAUUUCUAGUGUAGAGGUGAAAUUCGUAGAUAUUGGGAGGAACACCAAUUGCGAAGGCAGUUCACUGGACCGUGAUCGACGCUGAGGAGCGAAAGCUAGGGGAGCAAACAGGAUUAGAUA